rnacentral:rRNA from 1 species
CUGCCCAAUGUAUUAUAAAUGGCCGCAGUAUAUUGACUGUGCAAAGGUAGCAUAAUAAUUUGUUUAUUAAUUGUAAACUGGAAUGAAUGGGAUUACGAAAAUCUAGCUGUCUCGAAUUUCUUUAUUGAAAUUAUUCUUUAUUGUGAAGAAACUUAAAUGAGUUUGAGGGACAAGAAGACCCUAUAAAGCUUUAUAUAAUUAUUAAAAUUUUUAGUUAUGUAUAUUUGAUUGGGGCGAUCGAUGAUUUAUUAAUAAAACAUCAUUUAAGUAAUUUGACAUAUUAGUCUAGGUUUGACCCUCAAUGAGAGCGAAAGAUUAAGUUACUUUAGGGGUAACAGGCUAAUUUUUAUAUAGGAGUUCCUAUCUAAUAUAAUGUUUGGCACCUCGAUGUUGACUUAAAAUUCCUAUAUGGCGCAAGAGCUUUUAUAAGGGGGUUUGUUCAACCUUUAAAAUU